rnacentral:rRNA from 1 species
AUUGAACGCUGGCGGCAGGCCCAACACAUGCAAGUCGAGCGGAUGAAGGGAGCUUGCUCCUGGAUUCAGCGGCGGACGGGUGAGUAAUGCCUAGGAAUCUGCCUGGUAGUGGGGGAUAACGUCCGGAAACGGGCGCUAAUACCGCAUACGUCCUGAGGGAGAAAGUGGGGGAUCUUCGGACCUCACGCUAUCAGAUGAGCCUAGGUCGGAUUAGCUAGUUGGUGGGGUAAAGGCCUACCAAGGCGACGAUCCGUAACUGGUCUGAGAGGAUGAUCAGUCACACUGGAACUGAGACACGGUCCAGACUCCUACGGGAGGCAGCAGUGGGGAAUACUGGACAAUGGGCGAAAGCCUGAUCCAGCCAUGCCGCGUGUGUGAAGAAGGUCUUCGGAUUGUAAAGCACUUUAAGUUGGGAGGAAGGGCAGUAAGUUAAUACCUUGCUGUUUUGACGUUACCAACAGAAUAAGCACCGGCUAACUUCGUG